rnacentral:pre_miRNA from 1 species
GGCCUUCAGUAUCCGUGCUGAGAUUUCGUCACACACCAGACCACAUGGGCUGAUGACACUUCCAAGACACGCUCAACU